rnacentral:rRNA from 1 species
UGGGGAAUUGUUCGCAAUGGGCGCAAGCCUGACGACGCAACGCCGCGUGGAGGAUGACGGUCUUCGGAUUGUAAACUCCUGUUGAUCGGGAAGAAUGGCCCUGGACCCAAUACGUCCGGGGAGUGACGGUACCGAUUGAGGAAGCCACGGCUAACUCUGUGCCAGCAGCCGCGGUAAUACAGAGGUGGCAAGCGUUGUUCGGAAUUACUGGGCGUAAAGGGCGCGUAGGCGGCCAUUUAAGUCAGACGUGAAAUCCCCCGGCUCAACCUGGGAACUGCGUCUGAUACUGGGUGGCUUGAGUUCGGGAGAGGGAUGUGGAAUUCCAGGUGUAGCGGUGAAAUGCGUAGAUAUCUGGAGGAACACCGGUGGCGAAGGCGGCAUCCUGGACCGAAACUGACGCUGAGGCGCGAAAGCUAGGGGAGCAAACGGG